GACGGAUCGCGGGACCGAACGACGGACGCCCGGGGCCGGCGUGGGGCUGGUCGGCUGCCCGGGGCGAGGGCGGGAGACUUCCUGCUCAGAACCAGUCCGACCAGCUUGGCGCUGGGACGCCUCCCCGCGCUGUGCCGCGGCCCGGGGUGCCGAGGAGCUGGGCUGGGGGCGGGGACCCCUGCCGGGAACCCGACUUAGCCCGGAGACGCUCAAGAGCAAGAAGCCGAGCGGAAAAGUUAGCGCAGGUUGUGGAAAUCAUAUGAGUUCCCUGCUAGUGACAUUGGAGUGCACAGAUGAAUAUCGACAAGGCUCCAGGGAGUUCUGAACAGAGGCCAAGGCAGGCCCUGGAGCUGUAUGCUGCUUACAGGAAAAGAGAAAGAGGGGACCCCAAUAGUCUAGGUCCCUGGAUCCUCUGACCCGGGGCCUGACACUGUCAGGGAAGCUGCUGUCUCCCUAGGGACCUACUGAAUGUUCUUCCCAUGGCUGGUCAGUGCUGACACCUCAACACAGGAAGAGAAAUACUCCUAUGAAGUCAUCUGAAGCCUGGUCAUGCCAGGGACACUUCACGAAGGCAGGAACAGUCCUGUUUCUAAAAGCCCAAAAUCUAACAGCCUCUCUACAGAUAUAAAAGCCCAAAGACAUGGAAAGUUUGUAUGCAGACAACCCUAGAAGUAAGGAAAAGUGAAUGACAUAUAUGUCAAUGCCCAGAAAGUUCCUUGAGAUCAGACACUGUACAUUUAUGGGAUACUUUCUAAGUGCCAGCUACUGUACUUGGUGCUGGAUCAGUGCAUCCAUUUCCCGGGGCUCCCGUGAUGAAGUGCCACAAACUGGAUGGCUUUAAACAACAGAAGUUUACUCUCUCACAGUUCUGAAGGUUAGAAGUCUGCCAUGAAGAUGUGAGCACAGCCAGCCUCUCUCCAAAGGCUCCAGAGGAGAAUCCUUCCUUGCUUCUUCCCAGAGCUCCUUGGCAUACAGCUGCAUUACUCCAAGAUUUGCCUCUCUUGUCACACAGCAUUCUGCCUGUGUCUCUUGUUUGUGUUCAAGUAUCCCUCCACCCUAAUUUAGUAUGACCUCAUUUUAGCUUGAUUAUGCCUGCAAAUACCCUAUUUCCAAAUGAGGUCACAUUCACAGGUACCAGAAGUUAUGAAUUGAACACAUCUUUUUUGGGAUGUGUUCUACCCAUUAUAAUUCAUUCUACCCACUAUAAUCACAAGUGGCUUUGACAUUCAGUGACACAAAGAUGAUAAGGACUCGGUUCCUGACCUCAGGACAUUCUCAGUCUAUCAGUGAAGACAAACACAUGCUGGUGAACACACACACAUACACAAGCACACAUAUACCCCGAGCCUCAUUCAAGUCAGACUGUGAUUAAAAAUGGAAAUUGUGUCAUCAGGAGGGAUUGGGGAAGUCUUCACACAAGAAAGAACAUCUAAGUUGGGCCUUGAAGGACUUGAGGUUGGCCCGCAGAUCCAUGGACACCUUGUGCUUGGAGCCCAGCAGGGCCCGGAGCAUGGCGUCAGCCGAGACACGGACUCGACGCAGGGGCGGGCGCUUGAACUUCCCACGGAGGUCCAUCACCUUCAGCUUCAGGUCCUUAAUCUGUAGGCCUAUAAGGAGGAUCAAAGGCUAUAACGAACAUGAAAGCACUUCACAAAGCUUUGCACAGGAUCAGCUCUGCAUGGAAUAGGAUGGUCCCCCCAGGACUGGACCAGCUCUCAGAGUGGGUGAGGAAGAGCUUGUGCUCAGCAAGGAUGCAGAGUCACACCCAACCCUGCUGCAAUACCAGUCCUUCCAGUGACAUGGUACACUGGCACAGCAACUCCCUGGACACUAGGAAGCCCCACAUCCAGAAUCUUCACCUGACGUUUCCAUCUCCUGGGAAUUUGUUCAGCCACUAAAUACCCUACACCCCCUGGACUCCCACCAGGCCUUAACACAGGCUCUUCCCUCUCCUCAGAUGCCAACCCCACCUUCCCACUUUUACCAGUCGUUAGAGUUAACCAAGACAGAGAUACCCCAAAUAUCACUUACCUCGCUUCAGGCAUCCAUCACAGGAAGGACGGGGAAAGAGCAGAACACAGAAAUUUGCAACAGAAACCUUAUGUGAGCUACAAAGCUAUCUGGCCCUUUCCAGAUAAAGCUUGCCAAUCCCAGUGGAGAACAGAAUGGAGUCCAUAGGAAAUAUGUUUGGAAAGUGAGAGCAGCUGGGCGCAGUGGCUCAUGCCUGUAAUCCCAGCACUUUGGGAGGCCAAGGCGGGCAGUUCAUGAGGUAAGGAGUUCAAGACCAGCCUGGCCAAUAUGGUCAAACCCCGUCUCUACUAAUGAUACAAAAAUUAGCCAGCAUGGUGGUGCACGCCUAUAGUCCCAGCUACUCAGGAGGCUGAGGCAGAAGAAUUGCUUGAACCCAGGAGGCGGAGGUUACAGUGAGCCGAGAUCGCACCACUGCACUCCAGCCUGGGUAACAGAAUGAGUCUCCUUCUCAAAAAAAAAAAAAAAAAAAUAAGUGAGAGUGUAGCUCACUCAUGAGGGCCUUGAAGGACAGGCUGAGUUUAGACUUUAUCCUGUGGAAUAAGGGUGGUCAUUGAAGGGCUCAGAGAGAGGAAGGCCUAGAAAGUGAAUGAGCAGAGUGGAUGCUGGAAAACGGGUAGCUGCCACAUGGCACAACUCCAUCCACAGAUGGCAAUGCAACUGGCACCUCCAGGGUGGGGCAGUGGGAGGCCUUGAGUGGGAGAGAAUAAGCCGCAAGGCAGGGCAAAUCCCGUGUUCACCCUAGUCUGUCUUUCCCCUCUCUGGGUUGGUUUUCCUCUCUGCAAAAUUAGGGGUUAAAUCAGUGAGUUUCCUCUUGAUGUUUAUUAUUAAUAAUAAGUAAUUAAAAUAAUAUUUAAUUAAUAUUAUUUGGUUGAAUCCUUUGUC
rnacentral:lncRNA from 1 species